UGCGCGUCUGUAGCAAUACAGAUGGCGCACGGCGCACGGGUGCGUAACACGUGGGUAAUCUGCCCUUCGAAGGGGAAUAACUCGCCGAAAGGCGAGCUAAUUCCGCAUAACAUUCCGAGAACCUUGGUUUUUGGAUUCAAAGGCGUAAGUCGUCGGAGGAGGAGCCCGCGCACGAUUAGCUAGUUGGUAGGGUAACGGCCUACCAAGGCUAUGAUCGUUAGCUGGUCUGAGAGGAUGGCCAGCCACACUGGAACUGAGACACGGUCCAGACUCCUACGGGAGGCAGCAGUGGGGAAUCUUGCACAAUGGGCGAAAGCCUGAUGCAGCGACGCCGCGUGGGGGAUGAAGCUUCUCGGAGUGUAAACCCCUUUCGACCCGGACGAAUGCCCCGCAAGGGGACUGACGGUACGGGUAUAAGAAGCCCCGGCUAACUACGUGCCAGCAGCCGCGGUAAGACGUAGGGGGCCAGCGUUGCUCGGAAUUACUGGGUGUAAAGGGUUCGUAGGCGGUGUGGCAAGUCGGGAGUGAAAUCUCUGGGCUCAACCCAGAGUCUGCUUCCGAAACUGCCGUGCUUGAGUGUGGGAGAGGCGCGUGGAAUUGCAGGUGUAGCGGUGAAAUGCGUAGAUAUCUGCAGGAACACCCGUGGCGAAAGCGGCGCGCUGGACCACUACUGACGCUGAGGAACGAAAGCUAGGGGAGCAAACAGGAUUAGAUACCCUGGUAGUCCUAGCCCUAAACGAUCAGGACUUGGGGUGCCACCCGUUCGGGUGUCGUCCCGGAGCUAACGCG
rnacentral:rRNA from 1 species